rnacentral:rRNA from 1 species
AUUGAACGCUGGCGGCAGGCCUAACACAUGCAAGUCGAACGAGUGGCGGACGGGUGAGUAAUGUCUGGGAAACUGCCUGAUGGAGGGGGAUAACUACUGGAAACGGUAGCUAAUACCGCAUACAAUCAGCUGUUCACAGAUGGGAUUAGCUAGUUGGUGGGGUAACGGCUCACCAAGGCGACGAUCCCUAGCUGGUCUGAGAGGAUUACCGUCCACAUUGGAACGGAAACACGGUCCAGAAUCCUACGGGAGGCAGCAGUGGGUAAUAGUGCACAAUGGGCGCAAGCCUGAUGCAGCCAUGCCGCGUGUAUGAAGAAGGCCUUCGGGUUGUAAAGUACUUUCAGCGGGGAGGCGUUACCCGCAGAAGAAGCACCGGCUAACUCCGUGCCAGCAGCCGCGGUAAUAC